GCCCAGACUCUACGGGAGGCAGCAGUGGGGAAUAUUGCACAAUGGGCGAAAGCCUGAUGCAGCGACGCCGCGUGGGGGAUGACGGCCUUCGGGUUGUAAACCUCUUUCAGUAGGGAAGAAGCGAAAGUGACGGUACCUGCAGAAGAAGCGCCGGCUAACUACGUGCCAGCAGCCGCGGUAAUACGUAGGGCGCAAGCGUUGUCCGGAAUUAUUGGGCGUAAAGAGCUCGUAGGUGGCUUGUCGCGUCUGCCGUGAAAACCCGAGGCUCAACCUCGGGCGUGCGGUGGGUACGGGCAGGCUAGAGUGUGGUAGGGGAGACUGGAACUCCUGGUGUAGCGGUGAAAUGCGCAGAUAUCAGGAAGAACACCGAUGGCGGAGGCAGGUCUCUGGGCCAUUACUGACACUGAGGAGCGAAAGCAUGGGUAGCGAACAGGAUUAGAUACCCUGGUAGUCCAUGCCGUAAACGUUGGGCACUAGAUGUGGGGGACAUUCCACGUUUUCCGCGUCGUAGCUAACGCAUUAAGUGCCCCGCCUGGGGAGUACGGCCGCAAGGCUAAAACUCAAAGGAAUUGACGGGGGCCCGCACAAGCGGCGGAGCAUGCUGAUUAAUUCGAUGCAACGCGAAGAACCUUACCAAGGCUUGACAUGCACCGGACGGCCGCAGAGAUGUGGCUUUCUUCGGACUGGUGCACAGGUGGUGCAUGGUUGUCGUCAGCUCGUGUCGUGAGAUGUUGGGUUAAGUCCCGCAACGAGCGCAACCCUUGUUCUAUGUUGCCAGCACGUCAUGGUGGGGACUCAUAGGAGACUGCCGGGGUCAACUCGGAGGAAGGUGGGGACGACGUCAAAUCAUCAUGCCCCUUAUGUCUUGGGCUUCAAGUAUGCUACAAUGGUCGGUACAAUGGGUUGCGAAACUGUGAGGUGGAGCGAAUCCCAAAAAGCCGGCCUCAGUUCGGAUUGGGGUCUGCAACUCGACCCCAUGAAGUCGGAGUCGCUAGUAAUCGCAGAUCAGCACG
rnacentral:rRNA from 1 species